rnacentral:sRNA from 1 species
AAAUAAUUACCUGCGGAACAAUGAAGAGACGAUCUAGGUCAUUUUGACGGCUGUUCUGUGUAACCCCAAUGGUUUUGUUAGUAAUGUUUACAUGUGUAUCGAUCAAAGGAACCACAUGCAGACGACAGAAUUUUUCUUUGGGUUUUUCAUAUUCUUUACUUAUUUAUAAAAUAUCUUUCAAUCAUGUUCUUAAUAUUUCAAGGGCAAUUUAAUACGAUAAUUACUACUACACAUUAUAUAUUUUAUGUAAAAACACGCAGUGAAAAUGUGCUAGGGAGGUCCUAGGAACAGCCACAGGGAUCUCUUAAAAAUAAACAUUUGAGGCAAUACAUAUCGUUUUGACUGGAACUAACACGUGAUAUUGACAUGGUUUUAAAACUUUUUACGGUUUGAAGUUGUACUUUCAUGAUCAGUGCAAGACAAAUAGAUAUUUCUGAUCUGAU